CGCGCAGGCGGAUCUGCCAGUCUGUCUUAAAAGUUCGGGGCUUAACCCCGUGAUGGGAUGGAAACUACAGAUCUAGAGUAUCGGAGAGGGAAGUGGAAUUCCUAGUGUAGCGGUGAAAUGCGUAGAUAUUAGGAAGAACACCAGUGGCGAAGGCGACUUUCUGGACGAAAACUGACGCUGAGGCGCGAAAGCCAGGGGAGCGAACG
rnacentral:rRNA from 1 species